rnacentral:rRNA from 1 species
AUUGAACGCUGGCGGCAUGCCUUACACAUGCAAGUCGAACGGUAACAGGUCUUCGGAUGCUGACGAGUGGCGAACGGGUGAGUAAUACAUCGGAACGUGCCUAGUAGUGGGGGAUAACUACUCGAAAGAGUGGCUAAUACCGCAUGAGAUCUACGGAUGAAAGCAGGGGAACGCAAGACCGUGUGAUACGAGAGCGGCCGAGGGCAAGUUAGGUAGUUGGUGGGAUAAAAGCUUACCAAGCCGACGAGCUGUAGCUGGUAUGAGAGGACGAUCAGCCACACUGGGACUGAGACACGGCCCAGACUCCUACGGGAGGCAGCAGUGGGGAAUUUUGGACAAUGGGCGAAAGCCUGAUCCAGCAAUGCCGCGCGCAGGAUGAAGGCCUUCGGGUUGUAAACUGCUUUUGUACGGAACGAAAAGCCCUGGGUUAAUACCCUGGGGUCAUGACGGUACCGUAAGAAUAAGCACCGGCUAACUACGUGCCAGCAGCCGCAGUAA